rnacentral:misc_RNA from 1 species
GAUGAAGAACGCAGCGAAAUGCGAUACGUAAUGUGAAUUGCAGAAUUCAGUGAAUCAUCGAGUCUUUGAACGCACAUUGCGCCCGCCAGUAUUCUGGCGGGCAUGCCUGUUCGAGCGUCAUUUCAACCCUCAAGCCCUCGGGUUUGGUGUUGGGGAUCGGCGAGCCUUUCUGGCAAGCCGGCCCCGAAAUCUAGUGGCGGUCUCGCUGCAGCCUCCAUUGCGUAGUAGUAAAACCCUCGCAACUGGAACGCGGCGCGGCCAAGCCGUUAAACCCCCAACUUCUGAAUGUUGACCUCGGAUCAGGUAGGAAUACCCGCUGAACUUAAGCAUAUCAAUAAGCGGAGGA